CAGGGCCAGGGGGCAGGCACAGUGGGCAGGGCCGACAAGGGGGUGUAAUGUUAUUGACAUGAACUGGGACCGUAUAGAUCAUUGUUGCAAUCAAGAUCCUGUAGUUGCACCAAAUCUUGUACAAAGGAGGUCGAGGACGGUGUCUAUGGAGAGGUUUCGAGUUGCUGGUUAUGACGAUGCUGUCUGUGUGUGUCUGUGUGUGUGUGUCAUUUGCGUAGGUGACGUUAUGACUGUUACGUGUUUUGAUUCUAAGCAGCCUCAGUGAAGUAUUUGGACAGCUUCUUGAGAAGGGGCUAUUCUCCGAAAGUGCCCAAUCCAGAAACACUUUGUUGACAAUGGACUUUGAGAGACGCCAAUCCACAUCUGAGCUUUCCUGGGAACUCAAACUAACAUUGAGAAUGGAGGGGGGUCCUCCCACGGGCAGAGAAUAUAACAGGCCCUGAAAACCCCUCCCAUCUUGUCUUCUGUCCUGCUUCUCACCCCUGUGGGGGACCUUGCUACAAACUGAAGCUCUGAACAAAGGACUGAAGGACCCAUCCCAGCUGGGGAUGUUCUCCAGAGGCUUGAUUUGAACCUGCAGCUUAUUCCAUCGCUGCUACAAGCCUGAACCAAGACCUUUGCCGUUACUGGAUGGAACCGAUUCCAUUUCACCAGUGCUGGCUCUCACCGAUAUCGGUUUCCUUUGAUCAAUAAACCUUUAGAUUUUAGAUGCUAAA